UACGGAGGGUGCAAGCGUUAAUCGGAAUUACUGGGCGUAAAGAGUGCGUAGGUGGUUGAUUAAGUUAUCUGUGAAAUCCCUGGGCUUAACCUGGGCAGGUCAGAUGAUACUGGUUGACUCGAGUAUGGGAGAGGGUAGUGGAAUUUCCGGUGUAGCGGUGAAAUGCGUAGAGAUCGGAAGGAACACCAGUGGCGAAGGCGGCUACCUGGCCUAAUACUGACACUGAGGCACGAAAGCGUGGGGAGCAAAC
rnacentral:rRNA from 1 species